AUAUUAAUAACCCCAAAAACACUCACAUAAACAAAUUAAACCAUUCUACCUCCUAAGUAUGGGCGACAAAAAAGAAAACACCUUUAGAGCCAUAGAAAAAGUACCGCAAGGGAACGCUGAAAAAGAAAUGAAAUAAACCAGUAAAGUUAAAAAAAGCAGAGACUUAUUCUCGUACCUUUUGCAUCAUGAAUUAGUCAGUAAAAUUAAGCAAAAAGUAUUUUAGUUUAAUACCCCGAAACUAAGGGAGCUACUCCAAGAUGGCCUAAAAGAAGGGCUAACCCGUCUCUGUGGCAAAAGAGUGGGAUGAGCUUAGAGUAGAGGUGACAGACCUACCGAACUUAGUUAUAGCUGGUUACUUAAGAAAUGGAUAAAAGUUCAGCUUUUUGAUUUCUUCCCUCUAAUUUUGCUUCAGCUUUCAACUGAUUUAAAGAAAUCAAAAAAGUUAAUUAAAAGGGGUACAGCCCUUUUAAAAAAGACACAACUUCAUCGGAUGGGUGCAGAUCAUAUUUAUUAAGGCAGAAUAUUUUAGUGGGCCUAAAAGCAGCCAUCUAUUAGAAAGCGUUAAAGCUCCUUUGUACUACCA
rnacentral:rRNA from 1 species